GCCAUUGACAAAGUACUCGUUACUGCCUGUCAACCAGAAAGUGAACGGUCCAUGACACCAGCUGAUGGUCAAGGAAAAACUGGUCAAGGAGUCUUCUAGCUAGGAUAUAUUGUUGGACGGUUUAUAAAGUUGAAGAGAAUUCAACAAACGUGCAUACACAUGUGGAUUUUCCAGAUGUUUGAACAGAGCAUGAAGGAUAGACAGUCUAUCAUCACAACACUUCGUUUUGACUGGUUGAAGGUUACUUUGCCCAUAAUGCAAACGUUGAUUGCAUGGGUGGUUUGCGCACUGGUAGCCAGUGUGGUGAGCCAAGGAGGUUCUACAAAUGGAGGGUUCGAGUCUACCCACCACUGGGACUGCUGGAGUCCAUUCAGUGCAAAAUCGUGACUGACAGCAUUCUGGUGCUGGUGCAAUGGAGGUACAAAACAGGAAGAAAUACUGGCAAGGCUUCACAAUAUAUCAACGUGACACGAGGGACUGGCUACGAGGUGAGCGCCCACAUCAAACUACUGAACGAUUCCGGGGUAUCGGACACCAGUUGACUACAGGUGGUGUUGAGA